ensembl:snoRNA
UGGGAAGUGAUGACACCUGUGACCGCUGACCUGGCCCUGAUUUCUCUUGUAUUCGUACUGGCUGAUCCUA